GUGAAAGUGCAGAGUAAUUAAUAAUGGUUUCAAAGAGGUGUUUUUUUAUUUGUGUGGUUCUCUUUCUCUGUGUUUUGAGUUUUUCUUCCAAAGCAUUAGCAAGGAACAUUCCUAAUGUUUCUGAACUCUCAGAAGGUUCAGAUAAAAUGUAUACGAAUAAAAGAGUGCUUGGCCAAGAAGCUGGACGACCUGCAUGUAAGAGGGGAAGAUUGACUUAUACCGUGAGUCGUAUCCAAGAUGAUCCACGUUGCCACCACUAUUUAUGAAUUAUUAUGACUUAGUGUUGCCCUUGUUGGAUUGUAAUAUAUUAAUUAAUUGUAAGAAUUUAGUUGCAGUAAAAUAAUUAAAUAAAUUAGGAAGGCAAAGCAUAGUGAAUCGAGUGAUGUUAUUUGAAUUUAUAUUGUUUUGUUAUGAUAAAAAAAAAUGUUAAUAUACAUUCUUU